GACGAACGCUGGCGGCGUGCUUAACACAUGCAAGUCGAACGGAAAGACCCUGCUUUUGUGGGGUGCUCGAGUGGCGAACGGGUGAGUAACACGUGAGUAACCUGCCCUUGACUUUGGGAUAACUUCAGGAAACUGGGGCUAAUACCGGAUAGGAGCUCCUGCUGCAUGGUGGGGGUUGGAAAGUUUCGGCGGUCGGGGAUGGACUCGCGGCUUAUCAGCUUGUUGGUGGGGUAGUGGCUUACCAAGGCUUUGACGGGUAGCCGGCCUGAGAGGGUGACCGGCCACAUUGGGACUGAGAUACGGCCCAGACUCCUACGGGAGGCAGCAGUGGGGAAUAUUGCACAAUGGGCGGAAGCCUGAUGCAGCAACGCCGCGUGCGGGAUGACGGCCUUCGGGUUGUAAACCGCUUUCGCCUGUGACGAAGCGUGAGUGACGGUAAUGGGUAAAGAAGCACCGGCUAACUACGUG
rnacentral:rRNA from 1 species